UAACCAUUCAAAAGGGUUGCUUUCAAAUCUUUCCCGAAACUGAAAGUUCUUCUCCAUCUCUCUCUCUCUCUCUCUCUCUCUCUCUCUCUCCCUCUCUCUCUUCAGGAAAUGGUUUUGAGACAUUGGAGAUUAUUAUCAUCACCUCUCGUGAUCAUCUGCUUCGUUGUUCUGAUCUCAACGCUAAUCUUAAAUCACUGCGAAGCUUCGAGGGCGGCGACAUUCUUCUUCACAAACCCUAAUCAUCAAAACCCUCGAGGACACUUCAUGGGAUUGUUGCCCAAACAUUUCCCCGUUCCGGCCUCUGCUCCUUCGAGAAAACACAACGAGAUCGGCCUUCAAUACUUCCUCUCUCCAUGAAGUGUAGGGGAAAGAGAUUAUGUCACUAGGGUUUGAACAGAAGCUUGCCUGCUUCGAUUUCUUGUCGGCUUUCUUCCGAUUAUGUAACUUUGUAAGAGUUUUACACUCUCUUUGUACAUGUAAAAGGAUCAAGAUACGCGCAAAA